rnacentral:rRNA from 1 species
UACGUAGGGACCAAGCGUUGUCCGGAUUUAUUGGGCGUAAAGAGCUCGUAGGCGGCUCAGUAAGUCGGAUGUGAAAACUCGGGGCUCAACCCCGAGACGCCAUUCGAUACUGCUGUGGCUUGAGUCUGGUAGGGGAACACGGAAUUCCUGGUGUAGCGGUGGAAUGCGCAGAUAUCAGGAGGAACACCGGUGGCGAAGGCGGUUCUCUGGGCCUGUACUGACGCUGAGGAACGAAAGCGUGGGGAGCGAACAGG